GGUUAGUGAAAAAGAAUUACAUGAAGAACAGAAAAGAAUAGGAUAAGCAUUUAGAUAUAUAAAUAUUGAUAUGAUCAUAUGUUUUCAUUUAUAACUUUUAUCUCCAACUAGAUGGCAAAUUAUGGUUUCUACUACUAUUUCCUUCACUAGUUUCUGGGGCUCCAUCACCAUAUUGUUUUCUGGCUAACUUGGGACCAGCUUGGUUGUCUUGUUUGUAGUCACGGUGGGAAUUAGACGAUUCUCUUUCUCUACCAAUACGACGUUCAUCACGAACCAGCAGGUCAUCCGCCUCUAGCAUGUGGAUAAUGUGUCCCAUUUUAGGCCUCUUUUGAGCAUCAGGAUCAACACACCGAAGAGCAACUAAAAGAGCACGCUUGAGUCCUUUUGAAGAAGGCAUUUCAGGCAACUUAGGAUCAACCACUUCCUCAGAUUGUCGAUUACCAACCAUCAUUUUUAACCACUCCACCAAAUUAGUCUCGCCUUUUGGUCUACCAUAAUCAACUGGAGUUCUGCCAGUAAUUAUCUCCAUGAUAAGUAUUCCAAAG
rnacentral:misc_RNA from 1 species